rnacentral:rRNA from 1 species
GUUGAACGCUGGCGGCAGGCCUAACACAUGCCAGUCGAGCGGAUGAAGGGAGCUUGCUCCUGGAUUCCGCGGCGGACGGGUGAGUAAUGCAUAGGAAUCUGCCUGGUAGUGGGGGCUAACGUCAGGACACGGGAGCUAAUACCGCAUACGACCUGAGGUAGAAAGUGGGGGAUCAUCGGACAUCACGCUAUCAGCUGAGACUAGGUCGGAUUAGCUAGUUGGUGGGGUAAAGGCCUACCAAGGCGACGGUCCGUAACUAGUCUGAGGGGCUGAUCAGUCACACUGGAACUUGGACACGGUCCAGGCUCCUACGGGGGGGAGCAGUGGGGAAUUUUGGACAAUGGGCGGAAGCCUGAUCCAGCCAAGCCGCGGGGGGGAAGAAGGGCCUCGGAUUGGAAAGCCCUUGUAGUUGGGAGGAAGGGCAGUAAGUUAAAACCAUGCUGGUUUGGCGUGACCAACAGAAGAAGCACCGGCUAACUUCGUG